rnacentral:antisense_RNA from 1 species
AUCUAUGGUAGCGUGUAAUAGGAAAGGUUCCGCCCUUUGCUGUGUUCCAAUGUUCGCAGUUUCUCAGCCUGUUACACGUUACCGCCAAA